rnacentral:rRNA from 1 species
UACGUAGGGUGCAAGCGUUGUCCGGAAUCAUUGGGCGUAAAGCGCGUGUAGGCGGCCACGUUAGUCCGUUCUGAAAGCCCGGGGCUCAACCCCGGGAGGCGGAUGGAUACUGCGUGGCUCGAGUCCGGAAGAGGCGAGUGGAAUUCCUGGUGUAGCGGUGAAAUGCGCAGAUAUCAGGAGGAACACCAAUGGCGAAGGCAGCUCGCUGGGACGUGACUGACGCUGAGACGCGAAAGCGUGGGGAGCAAACAGG